rnacentral:rRNA from 1 species
AGAGCGAACGCUGGCGGCAGGCCUAACACAUGCAAGUCGAACGGACCCUUCGGGGUUAGUGGCGGACGGGUGAGUAACACGUGGGAACGUGCCUUUUGGUUCGGAAUAGCUCCUGGAAACGGGUGGUAAUGCCGAAUGUGCCCUUCGGGGGAAAGAUUUAUCGCCAUUAGAGCGGCCCGCGUCUGAUUAGCUAGUUGGUGAGGUAAUGGCUCACCAAGGCGACGAUCAGUAGCUGGUCUGAGAGGAUGACCAGCCACAUUGGGACUGAGACACGGCCCAAACUCCUACGGGAGGCAGCAGUGGGGAAUCUUGCGCAAGUGGGCGAAAGCCUGACGCAGCCAUGCCGCGUGAAUGAUGGAAAGGUCUUAGGAUUAGUAAAAUUCUUUCACGGGGACGAUAAUAGAACGGUACCCGGAGAAGAACGCCCGGACUAACUUCGUGCCAGCAGCCGAC